UACGUAGGGUGCAAGCGUUGUCCGGAAUUAUUGGGCGUAAAGAGCUCGUAGGCGGUUUGUUGCGUCGGCUGUGAAAUCCCGAGGCUCAACCUCGGGUCUGCAGUCGAUACGGGCAGACUAGAGUGUGGUAGGGGAGACUGGAAUUCCUGGUGUAGCGGUGAAAUGCGCAGAUAUCAGGAGGAACACCGAUGGCGAAGGCAGCCCCCUGGGCUAGCACUGACGCUCAGGCACGAAAGCGUGGGGAGCAAACAGG
rnacentral:rRNA from 1 species